rnacentral:lncRNA from 1 species
UUUUUCCUCAUUAACAUCCCUGCCAAUGUUAUUUCUGAAAGAAUGUGAUGUAGGCUGUAACCUUAUUGGUGUCAUCCCUGUCUCACGGAAUCAUUUUUUCAGAUGCCCAAAGUCAUCGACCUCAGUCCCGUCUCAGGCUAGCAUCCAAAUACAUUUAUCUCAGACCAAAUGUUGCAACCUUGAAAACCUAACCUAUUAAAUGACACUCUCCAAUGUAUAUCAUGCACAAUAUGUGCCUUUUUCACUUUUCACAAACAACAUUUGAUUAGAUUACACGUUCUCCACAUUCAAGCGCUGAACCUCACUCUUGGUUCCAAAAACAGGUUCCAACUCAGAACCAACUUUAUGCUCCAGAAACAAGAACCGGUGACGUCUGGUGCCAAAACAAAAACACAUUACACCGCCACUUUUAAAAAGACCAGAGACAACAGCCAACAAUAUGGAAGGGAAGCAAGAACAACAAUGGUCUGUGGAGGAAACGACUUGUUUACUUGCUCUGUAGUCCUCCACCGAAAUACAAAAUAAAUUGGAAGGUGCCCUAUCUUUGAAAAGAUACAGCAGGAGAUGGCAACGGCUGGUUACGAUAGCGGUGUCGACCAAUUGAAACAACAUUUUGAAAUUAAAAAAGGAAUAUAGGGACCAGAAAAAGAACCUUGGGCGAAGUGGCAGUGGUCGUCCAAAAAUAAAUCCCUUUUUUGACAUUUAGGAGACAGACCAGCUUGUCAAGUGAGGGGGCGCUGAAUUCAGCCACAGCAAUGAUGGAUGGCAAUGGUUGAUGGCAGCGUACACAGUUUCGCUGCUUCAGAGUUGUGUGUCACCGGUGUGGAGGUGGAGGAGGGUGAUGAGGAACUAACGUUGCCGCCGCCACGGGACAGCAGCUCACCGGCGCCAUCUAGUGGAUUGGCCUCUGUACAGCAAGCCAAAGGAGGUAAGAUUUGUUCAUGACGCUCAUUGUUUUGGUAAGCCAAGUUAAGUCAUUUCUGUAGACUUUCUGUCUGUGCACUGUCCCGUUUUGUUUUUCUAAUCUGUAUUGUUUAGUUUUGUUUAUUAAUCUAUAUUGUUUUGUUUUUGUUUUGUGAACAGGAAAAAGAAAACGUGACAAUGAUGACCUACUUGGAUAGUCACAAGUCACACGUCUUUUAUUGACAGAUGCACAGAAUGGCACAGGGUCAGACUGGGCACUGAAAUUCUUAGGACAAGGCACCACACAACAACCUACCAUAACAUAACAUAACAUAACAUACACUCUGUACAAGUACUCUGAACAUAAUUUACACGUAAUAAACAUAUAAUAACCUAAAUAACCUUACUAAAU